rnacentral:rRNA from 1 species
AGGAUGAACGCUGGCGGCGUGCCUAAUACAUGCAAGUCGAGCGGUAAGGCCACUUCGGUGGUACACGAGCGGCGGACGGCUGAGUAACACGUAGGAACGUACCCCAAACUGAGGGAUAAGCACCAGAAAAUGGUGUCUAAUACCGCAUGUGCUCUUCGGAGUAAAGCUACGGCGGUUUGGGAACGGCCUGCGCAAGAUUAGCUUGUUGGUGAGGUAAUAGCUCACCAAGGCGACGAUCUUUAGCUGGUCUGAGAGGAUGACCAGCCAGACUGGAACUGAGAACGGUCCAGACUCCUACGGGAGGCAGCAGUGGGGAAUUUUGCGCAAUGGGGGAAACCCUGACGCAGCAACGCCGCGUGGAGGAUGAAGUCCCUUGGGACGUAAACUCCUUUCGACUGGGAAGAUAAUGACGGUACCAGUGGAAGAGCCCGGCUAACUUCGUGCCAGCAGCCGC